UACACAUUUUUUGUACAUAUUACCAAUCUUCGGUAAAACUGAUGUCAGAUGCAAAGUACAUUCCUACCAAAGAUUCGUAUAUUUUACUACAUAGCAUUUGUAACCUUGUGUGUUUUCAUGCCUAGCAAAUGUGUGUGCAGUCGCCUUUUUUCUACUAGAAGCGAAGCGAUUUGGAGCUUCUAAGCGUAGAUAACAAUUUAUUUACAUAUUGUAUGGCACGUUGGAGCAGCGUAACAGUAAAGAAAAUCAAUGAGUGGAAAAACUAAAAUUAAUCAACAAAAAUAAAAUCCGUGCUCCGCUUGUUCGUAAGGAUUUCACCAACAGCACUUCCUCGCGAUCGAAUUUUUCAGAAGUACUCUAGCGAAAACACCACACAAGGGAGUACCGAAAGACAAAAUUCUUUCACUAUUUUAACCCCUCAGGAAGCGGCGUACAGCUGGGAUGGAGAAAUCUGACUCCGAGGAGAUUUGCUAGACAACAGCUGGACAACAGUAUAAUUGCUUAUGUGCAAUUUGGAAU